UACGUAGGGGGCUAGCGUUGUCCGGAAUCAUUGGGCGUAAAGAGCGUGUAGGCGGUCCGGUAAGUCGGCUGUGAAAGUCCAGGGCUCAACCCUGGGAUGCCGGUCGAUACUGCCGGGCUAGAGUCCGGAAGAGGCGAGUGGAAUUCCCGGUGUAGCGGUGAAAUGCGCAGAUAUCAGGAAGAACACCCGUGGCGAAGGCGGCUCUCUGGGACGGUACUGACGCUGAGACGCGAAAGCGUGGGGAGCGAACAGG
rnacentral:rRNA from 1 species